rnacentral:rRNA from 1 species
UAAGUAGGUAGUGAAAUGACGGGGGCUCAACCUCGUGUCCAUUACCUAAACUGCUCAGCUAGAGUAUGAGAGAGGUGGCUGGAAUUUCUAGUGUAGGAGUGAAAUCCGUAGAUAUUAGAAGGAACACCGAUGGCGUAGGCAGGCCACUGGCUCAUUACUGACGCUCAGGCACGAAAGCGUGGGGAGCGACCGGGAUUAGAUACCCCGUUAGUCCACGCCGUAAACGAUGGAUGCUA